rnacentral:lncRNA from 1 species
AGACAGUGUCUCACUUUGUCAGUCAGUCUGAGUGCAGUGGCAGUCAUAGCUCACCGUAGCCUCUACCUUCUGAGCUCGAGUGAGCCUCCUGUCUCAGCCUCCUGAGUAGCCACCAGCAUAGCUGGGGCUACAGGGGUGCACCACCGCAUCUUAUUUUUUGGUAGAGAUGGGAUUUCAGCAUUUUGCCCAGCCUGGUCACUUGGAGAGAGGUUUCUAGUCGCAUAUUCAGUAUGUUACUUUUCUUUAGAUCUUGCUUAUUCAAUUUUUAAUCAAAGGCAUGAAUGAAGAUAUAGACUGCAAACAGAUGUUGGCUUAUUUAAUACCAGACUCAAAAAUAAUAUGCCUAAGUAUAUAAAACCAAAUGUAGUAGAAACAAGUAUCAAGUUUUAUUUUAGUUUUAUGAAAUGUAUUUUUUAAGAUGUUUAAACUUGAAACGCAUGUCACAGUGUUAUGUAAGUUUUGGUUCAUUUGUCUCGCUCUGCUUCUGUAUAAUAGGUAUAAGAUGAUCUUUCAGAAUUCUUAGCAACUGUAUAGUACUUAUCUCCUAGAACUUGUUCAAUAAUAAUUGUUAGAUGGAUUCAUAGACUAAAGAAUUAAUAGAUAUAGAUUGAAAACUAAAGCAUUUUAUUUUACAAAGAUCAGAAUUAAUUUACUAAAAUCUAAAUUUCUGCUAGUAAUAUUAAAUACAUGUGGAUAAACUACAAGAAUGAUAAAAAUAUUGCAUUGUAAGAGUCAUUAAAAACUUGAUAUAUUGUUAGACAACAACAGUAUAUUAUGAUUGUUUUUCAGGCCUCUCAUUCCAAGAGAGAUUUUAAUACAAUGCAAAGCAUCAAAAAUAACUUGAAAAUAUGAUGAAUGCUGUGAAAUUCAUGAAACAUGAAUAAAACCUUAGGAUAUUCCAUGUUUAUUUCAGAGAAGAUAUAAGAAAUUGAUUUUUACAUACUUAAAGGCUUUCCAAAGCAAGAUUAGAAAUGUUGAGUUUUUCCAGAGACUUACAUAUUUCAGAAAAGCCAAUUUAAUCUCAAACUCUGAAAGUCAUUUUAUAAGGUACAUUGGUAAUCAUUGCAUCUGCUACUUCACAAGGUUUUGUACUCUUUGAAAGGUGUCGAGCAGAUCACCCUUCAAAAAUGUUCCAGUUUUCUACUGAAUGAACUGAAAGGCCUCCCAAUUCCAUAUUCAAAAGAUUGUGCAAUUUCAUGAUUUGAAAAAUUAUAUAAAGUCCUAGUGAAUUAAUUCAUUCUGCAGCCAAACCCCCAGGAGUCCUGUCCUCAGGACCUCCCUGAGCCGACUUCCACCGAGGGAGGGGGAGCUUCAGGAGGCAGAGCUUCAGGAUGCCUGCUGUGUUCUGGGGACAUCCUUGUCAUAUCCGGUUUUCAGCUUCUUCUUGAAGAUUGUUUCGUAUCCUGGCUUCAUUUCUCAGAGAAGAGCCGCGAGGAGAUAUAACCAUCUCCUUUCACAUUGGUCUCCUCCCCUCCUGGAAAACAAUGAGCUCCUUGUACCUUUUUUUUUUUUUUUGGUUGGAGUGUGGUCAUCUUGAUUCUACAAAAGAGGUAGCUCAGGAUCGGGAUGAAAUUUCGGUUUCUUUGAGACCGAAGCUUCUCACAUUGUCGAGGUCUUCAGAAAGCCAAAGUGGAACCGCCGUGGAAAUGAUUGACAACCGCCCACAUGACCCAGGCAGAGUCGCAGACAGAGGCCCACUAAAGACACGCUGACAUGCAAGAGACCGCUUUGUAGCGCACUGGGCACAGAAACACACACGCUCACGGGCACACACGCACAGAGACAGAGAAAGCCAGAGAAACAGAGAGUGAGUGACAGAGAGAAGAGAGAAUGGGAGACACAGGCACCCAGACAUACAGCAGUGGCAGAGAGACACAACCCCCAGGCAAUCACUGAGGCUGCGGGUUUCUGCUCUUUGGGAGAAUGACCCUCGGGUGAGACAGUAGUCCUUGGGCACACAGGCAGACCUGUCCUCGAGAUCACGGGGGGCACGGCUUUGGGGGAACUCACCCGAACACCGUACGGGCAGGCCUGAGGCUGGGAUGCCGCACUGCUUUCCCCGGACUCCGUCUGCUGUUUCUGCAUCCUGGUAGGCCCUGCGUGUAGCAUGGUGUCCCGAAUCUGUUUUGU